UACGUAGGGGGCAAGCGUUGUCCGGAUUUAUUGGGCGUAAAGAGCGUGUAGGCGGCCAAGCAGGUCCGCUGUGAAAACUCGAGGCUCAACCUCGAGACGUCGGUGGAAACCGUUUGGCUAGAGUCCGGAAGAGGAGAGUGGAAUUCCCGGUGUGAGCGGUGAAAUGCGCAGAUAUCGGGAAGAACACCCGUGGCGAAGGCGGCUCUCUGGGACGGUACUGACGCUGAGACGCGAAAGCGUGGGGAGCGAACAGG
rnacentral:rRNA from 1 species